rnacentral:rRNA from 1 species
UGGGGAGUACGCCGGCAACGGUAAAACUCAAAGGAAUUGACGGGGACCCGCACAAGCGGUGGAGCCAUGUGGUUUAAUUCCGAUGCAACGCGAAGAACCUUACCAGCCCUUGACAUCCCUCGGAACUUUGCAGAGAUGCAUUGGUGCCUUCGGGAAUCGAGUGACAGGUGCUGCAUGGCUGUCGUCAGCUCGUGUCGUGAGAUGUUGGGUUAAGUCCCGCAACGAGCGCAACCCUUGUCCCCUAGUUGCCAGCGAUUCGGUCGGGAACUCUAGGGAGACUGCCGGUGACAAACCGGAGGAAGGUGGGGACGACGUCAAGCCAUCCAUGGCCCUUAUGGGCUGGGCUACACACGUGCUACAAUGGGGAGUACAGAGGGCUGCCAACCAGCAAUG